GACGAACCGUGCGAACGUUGUUCGGAUUCACUGGGCUUAAAGGGCGCGUAGGCGGCUUGCCAAGUCAGGGGUGAAAUCUUUCGGCUCAACCGGAAAAGUGCCUUUGAUACUGGCGAGCUAGAGGGAGGUAGGGGUGCGUGGAACUUCUGGUGGAGCGGUGAAAUGCGUAGAUAUGCGGAGGAACACCGAUGGCGAAGGCAAUCCCCUGGGCCUGCACUGACGCUCAUGCACGAAAGCGUGGGGAGCAAACAGG
rnacentral:rRNA from 1 species